UACGGAGGAGGCAAGCGUUAUCCGGAAUUAUUGGGCGUAAAGCGUCCGUAGGUGGUUUAGUAAGUCUGCUGUUAAAGCGCGGGGCUUAACUCCGUGUCGGCAGUGGAAACUACUAGACUAGAGUGUGGUAGGGGUAGAGGGAAUUCCCAGUGUAGCGGUGAAAUGCGUAGAUAUUGGGAAGAACACCGGUGGCGAAGGCGAUCUACUGGGCCAUAACUGACACUGAUGGACGAAAGCUAGGGGAGCGAAAGGG
rnacentral:rRNA from 1 species